rnacentral:rRNA from 1 species
GAUGAACGCUGGCGGCGUGCUUAACACAUGCAAGUCGAACGGAAAGGCCAGUUUUUGCACUGGUGCUCGAGUGGCGAACGGGUGUGUAACACGUGUGUGAUCUGCCCUGCACUUUGGUAUAAUCCUGGGAAAGUGGGUCUAAUACCAGAGAGGACCAUGCUUUGGAUGGUGUGGUGGAAAGUUUUUUCGGUGUGGGAUGAGCUUGCGGCCUAUCAGCUUGUUGGUGGGGUAAUGGCCUACCAAGGCGUCGACGGGUAGCCGGCCUGAGAGGGUGUACGGCCACAUUGGGACUGAGAUACGGCCCAGACUCCUACGGGAGGCAGCAGUGGGGAAUAUUGCACAAUGGGUGCAAGCCUGAUGCAGCGACGCCGCGUGGGGGAUGACGGCCUUCGGGUUGUAAACUCCUUUCGCAACUGACGAAGCUUUUUGUGACGGUAGGUGGAGAAGAAGCACCGGCUAACUACGUG